rnacentral:rRNA from 1 species
ACGAUGAUCAGUAGGGGAACUGAGAGGUUGAUCCCCCACACUGGCACUGAGAUACGGGCCAGACUCUACGGGAGGCAGCAGUAGGGAAUAUUGGUCAAUGGAUGGAAGUCUGAACCAGCCAUGCCGCGUGCAGGAAGAAGGCCUUCUGGGUUGUAAACUGCUUUUGCCAGGGGCUAAAAAGCCCAUGCGUGGGAAAUUGAAAGUACCUGGUGAAUAAGCCACGGCUAACUACGUGCCAGCAGCCGCGGUAAUACGUAGGUGGCAAGCGUUGUCCGGAUUUAUUGGGUUUAAAGGGUGCGUAGGCGGCUUUGUAAGUCAGUGGUGAAAUAUGGCAGCUCAACUGUCAAGGUGCCAUUGAUACUGCAGAGCUUGAGUACAGAUGAGGUAGGCGGAAUUGACGGUGUAGCGGUGAAAUGCUUAGAUAUCGUCAAGAACACCUAUAGCGAAGGCAGCUUACUAGGCUGUAACUGACGCUGAGGCACGAAAGUGUGGGGAUCAAACAGGAUUAGAUACCCUGGUAGUCCACACUGUAAACGUUGAAGACUCGCUGUGUGCGAUAUACAGUACGCGGCUUAGCGAAAGCGAUAAGUCUUCCACCUGGGGAGUACGCCGGCAACGGUGAAACUCAAAGGAAUUGACG